GUCUGGAAAGUACGUCCAAGACCCAAUCAUAGUCAAGGACCAAAUAUUUAUGCCUGGAAAAGCCCUGAAAAGCCAGGCAAGACCUUGGUCCUAAUAUACUCAGUAUUAGGCUAAGGGAUUAGGCUUAAGAGAAAAAAGCCCAGAAAUGCGAGGGCGACUUGGGGAUUUAGACUCAAGAAUAAGGCUUACAUGCAAAUGCCAGAUCAGAACCAAACCAGUAAAAAGGUAGAAAUCAUGCUAAGUCCUUGGAAUAUUGAACUCGAGUUCACCAAAUGUCCUCUAAUCAAGAUCAAAAUGAUUUUUAGAUCCCGGGGCAGGACUGAAUCUGCAGAGAGAGGCCACAUGACACCAGAUGUGAAGAAGGGAGAUGUGAGAAAUCAUCACUUUUGAAUGAGAUUUUCCUCUCGUUUUGCAUCUGCAGCAAAUCUCUCUCUGGACAACAACCUGGAAGCUAUCCUCUCAGCUUAAAGUCAUUGUCACAACUGUGCGGAAGAUAGUUAACAUUCUUCUCAGUUCUUCGCAAUUGCUGGUCAAUAUCUUUCCUCGAGUGAAAUCCAUGUAAACUUCAAACAACAAAUCACAAGGCAGCUCGGCAUGAUGACUCUAGUUAAG